rnacentral:lncRNA from 1 species
CUCUGUUAUAAUGGAUUUCAGCGCAAGACAUUUAGCAUUUCUGAAGUGGCUGCUUCUUCCCAGACAAUGCAUCUAGUCAAACUCCUCUUUUGCUGCUGAUGAAAUUCACCAAAAAGACUACGUGUGCAUCAGCUAACAGACUCUCAGGCUGGCCCUUUACCUCUGCUGCUCAUAGCAAAUUGAAAAACCAAAAACCAGAAACCAAAAAACCUGACAUGGAAAAACAUCCAAUUUUGCCAGAGAAAGAUUUGGUGGGCUCCUGGGCACCAUCAGAACUGGUAAAGCCAAAUGAUGCUAUUACUGCCUGGACCCUGAUAUUACAGUAUUUAGAAGAUGUCCUAGAAGAUAUAAACCCCAGGAGAUAG